rnacentral:lncRNA from 1 species
GACUGGGUGGAUGAGGCUCACCCCGGCGGGGAGAAGGGACGAGGAGGGGCGGACAGCGGAAGGUCCGGGAGUGUCCGCCAUUUUAACUUCUAGUCAUGGUGAAUGAUCCCAGGAGAGCACAGACUGGACCCUGCUACGAUCUCUCUUGGAGUGGAUCAGACUGAUGAUCACCAACAACCAACUCAUUCCCGGAUAAGGAAGAAGAGAGUGUCACCUACUUCAGUGUGGUUUCAACCCUACUUCUGCAUCUUAAAGACACUUGUACAACGUUGGACACUGUGCAGGAUGAUGCCACUUCAUCUUGGAUGCUAAUCUGCCAUGUUGACUUCUGAUUAACCCCAGGCCCAGGAAUGCCUCAAGAUUUCUACUUUACUUACUGUUGCUUGUGUAAUCCAAGACAACCUUGAUGUUAUCAUAAACAUGUACUUACCUAAGUCCUGUCCUUUGGCAAAUUAUGGGCUAUGAGACACAGCAUUCUUGCCUUUCCCUGAGGGGUCAAUUUCAGCGAUCCUACACAUUCCUUCUGAAGCACGUAUGCUCUUUCUAUAUGGUAUGUAAGCUCUCGGUCUGGGGAGUACCAGUGCAGAGAUCUACCUGUCUUGUUGCCACAUGUUUCUAAACUUUCCAAUAAAUCACCUUCUACUGACAAACUGG